rnacentral:rRNA from 1 species
AGUGAACGCUGGCGGUAGGCCUAACACAUGCAAGUCGAACGGCAGCACAGUAAGAGCUUGCUCUUACGGGUGGCGAGUGGCGGACGGGUGAGGAAUACAUCGGAAUCUACUUUUUCGUGGGGGAUAACGUAGGGAAACUUACGCUAAUACCGCAUACGACCUACGGGUGAAAGCAGGGGAUCUUCGGACCUUGCGCGAUUGAAUGAGCCGAUGUCGGAUUAGUUAGUUGGCGGGGUAAAGGCCCACCAAGGCGACGAUCCGUAGCUGGUCUGAGAGGAUGAUCAGCCACACUGGAACUGAGACACGGUCCAGACUCCUACGGGAGGCAGCAGUGGGGAAUAUUGGACAAUGGGCGAAAGCCUGAUCCAGCCAUACCGCGUGGGUGAAGAAGGCCUUCGGGUUGUAAAGCCCUUUUGUUGGGAAAGAAAAGCAGCAGGUUAAUACCCCGCUGUUCUGACGGUACCCAAAGAAUAAGCACCGGCUAACUUCGUG